rnacentral:rRNA from 1 species
UACGUAGGGUGCGAGCGUUGUCCGGAAUUAUUGGGCGUAAAGAGCUCGUAGGCGGUGUGUCACGUCGGCCGUGAAAACCCGCGGCUCAACUGUGGGCGGGCAGCUGAUACGGGCAGGCUGGAGUUCGGUAGGGGAGACUGGAAUUCCUGGUGUAGCGGUGGAAUGCGCAGAUAUCAGGAGGAACACCGGUGGCGAAGGCGGGUCUCUGGGCAGUAACUGACGCUGAGGAGCGAAAGCGUGGGGAGCGAACAGG